rnacentral:rRNA from 1 species
GAACGCUGGCGGCGUGCCUAAUACAUGCAAGUCGAACGGUCUUUUCUAUGGAAGCUUGCUUCCACUGAGAAGAUAGUGGCGAACGGGUGAGUAACACGUGGGUAACCUGCCCAUAAGAGGGGGAUAACAUCCGGAAACGGGUGCUAAUACCGCAUAGUUUUCUUGAUCGCAUGAUCGGGAAAGGAAAGACGGCCUUUGUGCUGUCGCUUAUGGAUGGACCCGCGGCGUAUUAGUUAGUUGGUGAGGUAACGGCUCACCAAGACGAUGAUACGUAGCCGACCUGAGAGGGUGAUCGGCCACAUUGGGACUGAGACACGGCCCAAACUCCUACGGGAGGCAGCAGUAGGGAAUCUUCCGCAAUGGACGAAAGUCUGACGGAGCAACGCCGCGUGAGUGAAGAAGGUUUUCGGAUCGUAAAACUCUGUUGUCAGAGAAGAACAAGUUGGAGAGUAACUGCUCCAGCCUUGACGGUAUCUGACCAGAAAGCCACGGCUAACUACGUG